rnacentral:lncRNA from 1 species
CCCCAUGUCCCCAUGUCCCCAUGUCCCAGUAUCCCCACAUCUCCUUGCCCCAGUGUCCCCAUACCCCAUAACUCCACAGCCCCACGUCCCCAUGUUCUGGUGUCCCCACGGUGUCCCCAUAACUGCCCCCCCCCGCAGGACCUUUGCUCCGACUGCCAGGACCUGGUGGCGCUUCUCCUCCGCAUGGCCAACGCAUCAGCAGCCGAGAAGCCCUCUGCCAUCUGUGCCCACCUGGAGCUGUGCCCAGGGCAGCCCGGAGGGGUCCCGGCUGCGUCCCCCCACAUCGGUGCCCUCCUGAAGGACGCGGCGCUGCCGGUGCCGCUGCCGCUGUGCUGGCUGUGCCGGACCUUCCUGGCCCGUGCCGAGGCUGCUGUCCCCAAGGAGGCGGUGGCGAAGGCGGUGUCCCAGCUGUGCCGGGCGCUGCCGCUGGUGGCCGCGGGCGC